rnacentral:rRNA from 1 species
AUUGAACGCUGGCGGCAGGCCUAACACAUGCAAGUCGAACGAGUGGCGGACGGGAGUGUCAUGUCUGGGAAACUCCCUGACGGAGGGGGACAAUUACUGGAAACGGUAGCUAAUACCGCAUACCAUCAGAUGUUCCCAGAUGGGAUUAGCGAGUUGGUGGGGUAACGGAUCACCAAGGCGACGAUCCCUAGCUGGUCUGAGAAGGUGACCGGCCACACUGGAACGGAGACACGGUCCAGACUCCAACGGGAGGCAGCAGUGGGGAAUAUUGCACAAGGGGCGCAAGCCUGAUGCAGCAAUGCCGCGUGUAUGACGAAGGCCUGCGGGUUGUAAAAUACUUUCAGCGGGGAGGCGUUACCCGCAGAAUAAGCACCGGCUAACUCCGUGCCAGCAGCCGCGGUAAUUC